rnacentral:rRNA from 1 species
CCCUACGGGGUGCAGCAGGCGCGAAACCUUUACAAUGCACGAAAGUGUGAUAAGGGAACCCAAAGUGCUCAUGCUUAGCAUGGGCUUUUGUCAAGAGUAAAUAUCUUGGAGAAUAAGUGGUGGGAAAGACUGGUGCCAGCCGCCGCGGUAAUACCAGCGCCACGAGUGGGAAUCAUCCUUAUUUGGCCUAAAGCGUCCGUAGCUGGUUCGGUAAAUCUUUUGUGAAAUCUUGUGGCUUAACCACAAGGCGGGCAGAAGACACUACCGAACUUGGAACCGGGAGAAGUAAGAAGUAUUCUGGGGGGAGCGGUAAAAUGCUAUAAUCCUCAGAGGACUACCUGUGGCGAAGGCGUCUUACUAGAACGGAUUCGACAGUGAGGGACGAAAGCUAGGGGAGCGAUCCGGAUUAGAUACCCGAGUAGUCCUAGCCCUAAACGCUGCGAGCUAGGUGUUGCAUAUUCUACAUGAAUAUGCAGUGUCGAAGCGAAGGUGUUAAGCUCGCCGCCUGGGAAGUACGGUCGCAAGGCUGAAACUUAAAGGAAUUGGCGGGGGAGCACCACAAGGGGUGCGGCGUGCGGUUUAACCUAACUCAACGCGGAGAAUCUCACCAGAGGCGACGGCAGGAAGAAAGUCAGUCUAAAGGGCUUACUUGACGAGCCGAGAAGAAGUGCAUGGCC